UGAUUAGACUUUAUCAAGGUCCUUGUGCGC
rnacentral:piRNA from 1 species